rnacentral:rRNA from 1 species
UACGUAGGGGGCAAGCGUUGUCCGGAUUUAUUGGGCGUAAAGAGCGUGUAGGCGGCCAGGUAGGUCUGCUGUGAAAACUCGAGGCUUAACCUCGAGAUGUCGGCGGAAACCAUCUGGCUAGAGUCCGGAAGAGGAGAAUGGAAUUCCCGGUGUAGCGGUGAAAUGCGCAGAUAUCGGGAAGAACACCCGUGGCGAAAGGCGGUUCUCUGGGACGGUACUGACGCUGAGACGCGAAAGCGUGGGGAGCGAACAGG